rnacentral:rRNA from 1 species
GACGAACGCUGGCGGCGUGCCUAAUACAUGCAAGUCGAACGCAGUGGGGACGGGUGAGUAACACGUGGGUAACCUCCCAUCAGAGGGGAUAACACUUGGAAACAGGUGCUAAACCGAUACUGAUUGAUGGACCCGCGGUGCAUUAGCUAGUUGGUGAGGUAACGGCGCACCAAGGCCACGAUGCCUAGCCGGCCUGAGAGGGGGACAGAGCACACUGGGACUGAGACACGGCCCAGAAUCCUACGUGAGGCAGCAGUAGGGAAUCUUCGGCAAUGGACGAAAGUCGGACGGAGCAACGCCGCGUGAGUGAAGAAGGUUUUCGGAUCGUAAAACUCUGUGGUUAGAGAAGCGGUAUCUAACCAGAAAGCCACGGCUAACUACGUGCCAGCAGCCGCGGUAAUUC